rnacentral:ribozyme from 13 species
AAAAAAGUAUCAAAAAUAUAAGAAGAAAAAACAGAACAAGCCAAAAAUGUCAAAAUAAAUAAUCCAAACACCACAUAAUUCCAUCUCUUUCUCUUUUCUCUUUCUCUUUCUCUUUCUUC